AGAGUUUGAUCCUGGCUCAGGACGAACGCUGGCGGCGUGCCUAACACAUGCAAGUCAAGGAAAAGUUAACCUUCAGGUUGGCGGACACUGGCGAACGGGUGAGUAACGCGUAGGUAUCUGCCCCAAUCACUGACAUAACGUCGAGAAAUCGACGCUAAUAUCAGAUGAGGCGCUUUGCGUCAAAGCUUCGGCGGAUUGGGAUGAACCUGCGUCUGAUUAGCUAGUUGGUAGGGUAACUGCCUACCAAGGCGACGAUCAGUAGCUGGUCUGAGAGGAUGGUCAGCCACACUGGAACUGAGACACGGUCCAGACUCCUACGGGAGGCAGCAGUGAGGAAUAUUGGUCAAUGGGGGAAACCCUGAACCAGCGACGCCGCGUGCGGGAUGACAGGGCUUUGCCCCGUAAACCGCUGUCGGGAGGGAAGAAAAGGGCCUUCGGGGCCCCGGGACGGUACCUCUAAAGGAAGGAUCGGCUAACUACGUGCCAGCAGCCGCGGUAAUACGUAGGAUCCAAGCGUUGUCCGGAUUUACUGGGUGUAAAGGGUGCGUAGGCGGGCUUGUGCGUCAGGGGUUAAAUGUUACGGCUCAACCGUAAACCUGCCCUUGAUACGGCAAGUCUUGAGUGUAAGAGAGGAUAGUAGAAUUCCUGGUGUAGCGGUGAAAUGCGUAGAUAUCAGGAGGAAUACCGGUGGCGAAGGCGGCUAUCUGGCUUACAACUGACGCUCAGGCACGAAAGCGCGGGGAGCGAACAGGAUUAGAUACCCUGGUAGUCCGCGCCCUAAACGAUGUAUGCUUGGUGUUGGAAGAAUUAUCUUUCAGUGCCGGAGGAAACCCGUUAAGCAUACCACCUGGGGAGUACGAUCGCAAGGUUGAAACUCAAAGGAAUUGACGGGGGCCCGCACAAGCGGUGGAUCAUGUGGUUUAAUUCGAUGCAACGCGAAGAACCUUACCCAGGCUUGAAGUGUCGGUCCUUCGGGAUAGACCGUUGAAAGACGGUCGAACGAUAGAGGUGCUGCAUGGCUGUCGACAGCUCGUGCCGUGAGGUGUUGGGUUAAGUCCCGCAACGAGCGCAACCCCUAUCCUUAGUUGCCAUCGGCUAGGCCGGGCACUCUAAGGAGACUGCCUACGCAAGUAGAGAGGAAGGUGGGGAUGACGUCAAGUCAUCAUGGCCCUUAUGUCUGGGGCUACACACGUGAUACAAUGGUCGGUACAGUGGGCGAAACCGCGAGGUUUAGGAAAUCCCCAAAACCGAUCUCAGUUCGGAUUGUAGUCUGCAACUCGACUACAUGAAGCUGGAAUCGCUAGUAAUCGUAGAUCAGCUCGCUACGGUGAAUACGUUCCCGGGCCUUGUACACACCGCCCGUCAAGCCAUGGAAGUUGGGGGCGCCCGAAGCCGCUAGAAAUAGCGUCGAAGGCGAACUCGAUGACUGGGGCUAAGUCGUAACAAGGUA
rnacentral:rRNA from 1 species